rnacentral:rRNA from 1 species
GGUUAAGCGACUAAGCGUACACGGUGGAUGCCCUGGCAGUCAGAGGCGAUGAAGGACGUGCUAAUCUGCGAUAAGCGUCGGUAAGGUGAUAUGAACCGUUAUAACCGGCGAUUUCCGAAUGGGGAAACCCAGUGUGUUUCGACACACUAUCAUUAACUGAAUCCAUAGGUUAAUGAGGCGAACCGGGGGAACUGAAACAUCUAAGUACCCCGAGGAAAAGAAAUCAACCGAGAUUCCCCCAGUAGCGGCGAGCGAACGGGGAGCAGCCCAGAGCCUGAAUCAGUGUGUGUGUUAGUGGAAGCGUCUGGAAAGGCGCGCGAUACAGGGUGACAGCCCCGUACACAAAAAUGCACAUGCUGUGAGCUCGAUGAGUAGGGCGGGACACGUGGUAUCCUGUCUGAAUAUGGGGGGACCAUCCUCCAAGGCUAAAUACUCCUGACUGACCGAUAGUGAACCAGUACCGUGAGGGAAAGGCGAAAAGAACCCCGGCGAGGGGAGUGAAAAAGAACCUGAAACCGUGUACGUACAAGCAGUGGGAGCACGCUUAGGCGUGUGACUGCGUACCUUUUGUAUAAUGGGUCAGCGACUUAUAUUCUGUAGCAAGGUUAACCGAAUAGGGGAGCCGAAGGGAAACCGAGUCUUAACUGGGCGUUAAGUUGCAGGGUAUAGACCCGAAACCCGGUGAUCUAGCCAUGGGCAGGUUGAAGGUUGGGUAACACUAACUGGAGGACCGAACCGACUAAUGUUGAAAAAUUAGCGGAUGACUUGUGGCUGGGGGUGAAAGGCCAAUCAAACCGGGAGAUAGCUGGUUCUCCCCGAAAGCUAUUUAGGUAGCGCCUCGUGAAUUCAUCUCCGGGGGUAGAGCACUGUUUCGGCAAGGGGGUCAUCCCGACUUACCAACCCGAUGCAAACUGCGAAUACCGGAGAAUGUUAUCACGGGAGACACACGGCGGGUGCUAACGUCCGUCGUGAAGAGGGAAACAACCCAGACCGCCAGCUAAGGUCCCAAAGUCAUGGUUAAGUGGGAAACGAUGUGGGAAGGCCCAGACAGCCAGGAUGUUGGCUUAGAAGCAGCCAUCAUUUAAAGAAAGCGUAAUAGCUCACUGGUCGAGUCGGCCUGCGCGGAAGAUGUAACGGGGCUAAACCAUGCACCGAAGCUGCGGCAGCGACGCUUAUGCGUUGUUGGGUAGGGGAGCGUUCUGUAAGCCUGUGAAGGUGUACUGUGAGGUAUGCUGGAGGUAUCAGAAGUGCGAAUGCUGACAUAAGUAACGAUAAAGCGGGUGAAAAGCCCGCUCGCCGGAAGACCAAGGGUUCCUGUCCAACGUUAAUCGGGGCAGGGUGAGUCGACCCCUAAGGCGAGGCCGAAAGGCGUAGUCGAUGGGAAACAGGUUAAUAUUCCUGUACUUGGUGUUACUGCGAAGGGGGGACGGAGAAGGCUAUGUUGGCCGGGCGACGGUUGUCCCGGUUUAAGCGUGUAGGCUGGUUUUCCAGGCAAAUCCGGAAAAUCAAGGCUGAGGCGUGAUGACGAGGCACUACGGUGCUGAAGCAACAAAUGCCCUGCUUCCAGGAAAAGCCUCUAAGCAUCAGGUAACAUCAAAUCGUACCCCAAACCGACACAGGUGGUCAGGUAGAGAAUACCAAGGCGCUUGAGAGAACUCGGGUGAAGGAACUAGGCAAAAUGGUGCCGUAACUUCGGGAGAAGGCACGCUGAUAUGUAGGUGAAGUCCCUCGCGGAUGGAGCUGAAAUCAGUCGAAGAUACCAGCUGGCUGCAACUGUUUAUUAAAAACACAGCACUGUGCAAACACGAAAGUGGACGUAUACGGUGUGACGCCUGCCCGGUGCCGGAAGGUUAAUUGAUGGGGUCAGCGCAAGCGAAGCUCUUGAUCGAAGCCCCGGUAAACGGCGGCCGUAACUAUAACGGUCCUAAGGUAGCGAAAUUCCUUGUCGGGUAAGUUCCGACCUGCACGAAUGGCGUAAUGAUGGCCAGGCUGUCUCCACCCGAGACUCAGUGAAAUUGAACUCGCUGUGAAGAUGCAGUGUACCCGCGGCAAGACGGAAAGACCCCGUGAACCUUUACUAUAGCUUGACACUGAACAUUGAGCCUUGAUGUGUAGGAUAGGUGGGAGGCUUUGAAGUGUGGACGCCAGUCUGCAUGGAGCCGACCUUGAAAUACCACCCUUUAAUGUUUGAUGUUCUAACGUUGACCCGUGAUCCGGGUUGCGGACAGUGUCUGGUGGGUAGUUUGACUGGGGCGGUCUCCUCCUAAAGAGUAACGGAGGAGCACGAAGGUUGGCUAAUCCUGGUCGGACAUCAGGAGGUUAGUGCAAUGGCAUAAGCCAGCUUGACUGCGAGCGUGACGGCGCGAGCAGGUGCGAAAGCAGGUCAUAGUGAUCCGGUGGUUCUGAAUGGAAGGGCCAUCGCUCAACGGAUAAAAGGUACUCCGGGGAUAACAGGCUGAUACCGCCCAAGAGUUCAUAUCGACGGCGGUGUUUGGCACCUCGAUGUCGGCUCAUCACAUCCUGGGGCUGAAGUAGGUCCCAAGGGUAUGGCUGUUCGCCAUUUAAAGUGGUACGCGAGCUGGGUUUAGAACGUCGUGAGACAGUUCGGUCCCUAUCUGCCGUGGGCGCUGGAGAACUGAGGGGGGCUGCUCCUAGUACGAGAGGACCGGAGUGGACGCAUCACUGGUGUUCGGGUUGUCAUGCCAAUGGCACUGCCCGGUAGCUAAAUGCGGAAGAGAUAAGUGCUGAAAGCAUCUAAGCACGAAACUUGCCCCGAGAUGAGUUCUCCCUGACUCCUUGAGAGUCCUGAAGGAACGUUGAAGACGACGACGUUGAUAGGCCGGGUGUGUAAGCGCAGCGAUGCGUUGAGCUAACCGGUACUAAUGAACCGUGAGGCUUAACCUU